CGCCAGAUGGCUCAGUUGGUAGAGCACCUGACUAGAGAUUCAGAGGGCCCAGAUUAAAAUUACGGUCUGGUCU
rnacentral:tRNA from 1 species